UGGCGAGAUCACAUGCUUAGCGUGUAAAGGUAAUACUGAUCCAAAAUAUCUUGCAUUUGGGAAAAGCAAUGAUUAUUUUAAUCUCCAAGAGAAGUUAAGAACAAGUCACAACCAAAAAGGAAAGAAUUUGAAAGACAAUCCCACUGCUUGAUAGAACUACUCCUCCUGAAGAUGUAUACCUCACUGUCUUGAGCUACACAACCUCCAGAUCACAACUGCUUCCUAGCACAGAUGCUGUGAACACACAGAGGGAGUUCCUUCACUGCAGAGAUGUGAGCAUAAAUCAGUCCUUGCAGUACACAAAGCCGCACACAAAUGCACAACGAUUCAUGCUACUGCAUGAAGCCCCU
ensembl:lncRNA